rnacentral:rRNA from 1 species
AUUGAACGCUGGCGGCAUGCCUUACACAUGCAAGUCGAACGGUAACAGGUCUUCGGAUGCUGACGAGUGGCGAACGGGUGAGUAAUACAUCGGAACGUGCCUAGUAGUGGGGGAUAACUACUCGAAAGAGUGGCUAAUACCGCAUGAGAUCUACGGAUGAAAGCAGGGGAUCGCAAGACCUUGUGCUACUAGAGCGGCCGAUGGCAGAUUAGGUAGUUGGUGGGAUAAAAGCUUACCAAGCCGACGAUCUGUAGCUGGUCUGAGAGGACGAUCAGCCACACUGGGACUGAGAAACGGCCCAGACUCCUACGGGAGGCAGCAGUGGGGAAUUUGGGACAAUGGGCGCAAGCCUGAUCCAGCAAUGCCGCGUGCAGGAUGAAGGCCUUCGGGUUGUAAACUGCUUUUGUACGGAACGAAAAGCCCUGGGUUAAUACCCUGGGGUCAUGACGGUACCGUAAGAAUAAGCACCGGCUAACUACGUGCCAGCAGCCGCCGUAACAC